rnacentral:rRNA from 1 species
CCUACGGGAGGUAGCAGUGGGGGAUAUUGCACAAUGGGGGAAACCCUGAUGCAGCGACGCCGCGUGAGUGAAGAAGUAUUUCGGUAUGUAAAGCACUAUCAGCAGGGAAGAAGAUGACAAUGCUUGUCCCAGAAGCCCCGGCUAACUCCGUGCCAGCAGCCGCGGGAAUACGUAGGGGGCGAGCGUGAUCCGGAUUUACUGGGUGUAAAGGGAGCGUAGACGGUUUGGUAAGUCUGGAGUGAAAGCCCGGGGCCCAACCCCGGGACUGCUUUGGAAACUGGGGAACUGGAGUACAGGAGGGGCAGGCGGAAUUCCUGGUGUAGCGGUGAAAUGCGUAGAGAUCAGGAGGAAUACCGGCGGCGAAGGCGGCCUGCUGGACUGAAACUGACGUUGAGGCUCGAAAGCGUGGGGAGCAAACAGGAUUAGAUACCCUUGUAGUC